ACAAAUUGAGCGUAAUCCCUUGCCGGGUAAGUUCCGGCCCGCAUGAAUGGCCUAACGAGUUGAAGACUGUCUCAACGAGGCGCCCGGUGAAAAUGCAAUACCAGUGAAGAUGCUGGUUACCUGCGGCUAGACGGAAAGACCCCGGAAGCU
rnacentral:rRNA from 1 species